GAUGAACGCUGGCGGCGUGCUUAACACAUGCAAGUCGAACGGUGAAGGCGGAGCUUGCUCUGCUGGAUCAGUGGCGAACGGGUGAGUAACACGUGAGCAAUCUGCCCCUGACUCUGGGAUAAGCGCUGGAAACGGCGUCUAAUACUGGAUACGAGCUGCGAAGGCAUCUUCAGCAUCUGGAAAGAAUUUCGGUCAGGGAUGAGCUCGCGGCCUAUCAGCUUGUUGGUGAGGUAAUGGCUCACCAAGGCGUCGACGGGUAGCCGGCCUGAGAGGGUGACCGGCCACACUGGGACUGAGACACGGCCCAGACUCCUACGGGAGGCAGCAGUGGGGAAUAUUGCACAAUGGGCGAAAGCCUGAUGCAGCAACGCCGCGUGAGGGACGACGGCCUUCGGGUUGUAAACCUCUUUUAGCAGGGAAGAAGCGAAAGUGACGGUACCUGCAGAAAAAGCGCCGGCUAACUACGUG
rnacentral:rRNA from 1 species